rnacentral:rRNA from 1 species
UACAGGGGGGGCAAGCGUUGUUCGGAAUUACUGGGCGUAAAGGGCUCGUAGGUGGCCAACUUAGUCAGACGUGAAAUCCCUCAGCUUAACUGGGGAACUGCGUCUGAUACUGGAUGGCUUGAGUGCAGGAGAGGAACGCGGAAUUCCAGGUGUAGCGGUGAAAUGCGUAGAUAUCUGGAGGAACACCGGUGGCGAAGGCGGGUCUCUGGGCCGAAAUUGACGCUGAGGAGCGAAAGCGUGGGGAGCAAACAGG